UACGGGGGGAGCAAGCGUUGUUCGGAUUUACUGGGCGUAAAGGGCGCGUAGGCGGCCACUGCAAGUCAGUUGUGAAAUCUCCGGGCUUAACCCGGAAAGGUCAACUGAUACUGCAGGGCUAGAGUGCAGAAGGGGCAACUGGAAUUCUCGGUGUAGCGGUGAAAUGCGUAGAUAUCGAGAGGAACACCUGCGGCGAAGGCGGUCUCCUGGGGCAUUCUUGACGCUGAGGCGCGAAAGCUGGGGGAGCAAACGGG
rnacentral:rRNA from 1 species